rnacentral:rRNA from 1 species
UACGUAGGGGGCAAGCGUUAUCCGGAUUUACUGGGUGUAAAGGGAGCGUAGGCGGCCGGCCAAGUCAGGCGUGAAAGCCCGGGGCCCAACCCCGGGACUGCGCUUGAGACUGGCCGGCUAGAGUACCGGAGAGGCAGGCGGAAUUCCUAGUGUAGCGGUGAAAUGCGUAGAUAUUAGGAGGAACACCAGUGGCGAAGGCGGCCUGCUGGACGGUGACUGACGCUGAGGCUCGAAAGCGUGGGGAGCAAACAGG